CCUGCUCCAGACAACGUUAGUCUAUUGUUUAUUUCUUACUCAUUUUCUCUCUUUCUUCACCAUCUGUUCUGAUUGCUGUUGAAACAAACAGACUGUUUACUAAUGAAAUACUAGUAAGUAACAAUGUUACCAACAAUUAAUAUCCAAUCAUGUUUUACCUGGUUGACAGUGCAGGGCUUCUCUUUGUGUACUGGAUUGCCAAUUUUGUCGUGCCGGAGUUCAUCUUGAAGGAUCUCCAAUCUGACGAUACAAAUGAAGACCAAAAACCAAAUAAUGAUGAAUGAAGAAGGAAUCAAGCCCAUAAGCAGAUUAAGGCUCAAGAAAGAUAAACAGGAGCUUCUGCAGCAUCGAGCAAUAAAUUAUAUUGCCUGAAGUCCCAAGUUUUUUUUUCCCCCUGUUUCAUGUCGGACAUCAUCAUGACACUUAUGCUUUAUGAACUUUCUCACAAUACUUCUCUCUCUCUCUAUAUAUAUAUAGUAUAGCCAAACUGCAGCAUUUGAUAAUGUCAGACCAAUUAACAUAGAGGAGAUUUGGUAACAUACUAACUGGUCAUUCUUGCCAU
rnacentral:lncRNA from 1 species